AAGUCGUAACAAGGUUUCCGUAGGUGAACCUGCGGAAGGAUCAUUAUGACGUGAUCCAACGUCAAACCCAAUUGUGAAAUUGUGUUAUCGGAGUUUUGUGGUUGGUUUAGAGUGUUCAUGUCCUCUAAUUGUGGACUCUAACCGAUCCUUGACCGUAAAAAGUCAAGACUCUGUUUAAGAAAUUCCCGUCAUGAACAAUUUCGCCAUUUUAACUUUUUAACCCCAUGUACCAAAUUGAACUAACUUUUUGUUCAAAGACUUUAAUUGUCUUUGGAUCAAAUAAAUCUGAAAUUAAGAAACAACUCUUAACAACGGAUAUCUUGGUUCUC
rnacentral:misc_RNA from 1 species